rnacentral:rRNA from 1 species
UGCCAGCCGCCGCGGUAAUACGGGGGGAGCAAGCGUUGUUCGGAAUUACUGGGCGUAAAGGGUUUGUAGGCGGUUCGAUUAGUCGAAGGUGAAAGGUCACGGCUCACCCGUGGACAUGCCUCCGAUACUGUCGAACUUGAGGGCUGGAGAGGAAAGCGGAAUUCCCGGUGGAGCGGUGAAAUGCGUAGAUAUCGGGAAGAACACCAGUGGCGAAGGCGGCUUUCUGGACAGUACCUGACGCUAAGCAACGAAAGCCAGGGGAGCGAACGGGAUUAGAUA